UGGGGAAUUUUCCGCAAUGGGCGAAAGCCUGACGGAGCAAUACCGCGUGAGGGAAGAAGGCUUUUGGGUUGUAAACCUCUUUUGUCAGGGAAGAAGAAUUGACGGUACCUGAAGAAAAAGCAUCGGCUAACUCCGUGCCAGCAGCCGCGGUAAUACGGAGGAUGCAAGCGUUAUCCGGAAUCAUUGGGCGUAAAGGGUCCGCAGGUGGCGAAUAAAGUCUGCUGUUAAAGACCGGGGCUUAACUCCGGAAAGGCAGUGGAAACUGAUUGGCUAGAGUACGGUAGGGGUAGAGGGAAUUCCCAGUGUAGCGGUGAAAUGCGUAGAUAUUGGGAAGAACACCGGUGGCGAAAGCGCUCUACUAGGCCGAAACUGACACUGAGGGACGAAAGCUAGGGUAGCG
rnacentral:rRNA from 1 species